UUCUCAUGGCAGGUAAUUUUCUUCAAGCUCUAUGGGUCAUUCUAGAAUGCAGCCAUUGUUGAGAAUCUAGAGGGCAGUGACGAUGAUAGACAGAAAGAUCUUGAGUAGUUGAAGAAGCUGUUCUCACUUCUUUUUGACAAAUUGUUCUAGGAUAAAACUGAAAAUACCCAAUAGCUCUAGAGAAGCCAUGAGGUGAUGUCUGGCGAUGAAGGAGAUGCAACUUUGGAUGACCACGUUGACAACGACCCAGCCUUUUGUGGGAGGAAGAUAUGACAGAGGCAUCUUGAAGUGAUAAAUAAACAAGUGAAAGGAAAUCAUCUAACCAAAGCAGGCUCAGCAAGUAGUCACAUUCCUUCAGCUGUGGGAAAACACAGAAUCUUGAUGGUCUUACCCAACUGCGAAGGUUUCCACAACCUCCUAGCCCAGGAUGAUUCUCUGAGAAUAAAAGAUGGGAAGGAGACCAUUUCUAUGGUUAAAUACAUUUGGAAAAUGCUACACGGUAUAUUUUCUACUAGGAAUAUAUAUCGUUUAGUAUAUUGACUGCUCCAAGAAACCUCAGGGUCAUUAUGAACAUGGGAAGAAACUGCUGCUCUCAGGAUGGACAGAAAACUAGGGGACAAAUGCUAAGACACCAGGCAUAUUUCAUUAUAUACACAUAUCAAAGUGUUCUUAGAGGAGACACAGAAACUGCUGGUAAAGAAUGAAGUAAAAUACAAGAAACAUUUUCUCAAGUGGCCUGCCCUUUUCUAAUGCUUUGAAAAUGGACUUGAUUUCAACAAUCGAGGGCUUUUUUUGUAGUGGUAUGUGAAGGGGAGGCAGAAGUGGAAGAGACAAGGCCAGACUGUGGGCAGUGGAAAUGCAUUGUUCAGUCAACAGUGACCGAUGACAUCUCUGCUUCUUACAUUACCUCGGGAUAAGUCAGUCUGGCAGGUGUUCUCUUUUUGGCUAGGAACCCAGCCAGUGUUCUGCUGAAAUGGGAUUUCAAGAGGAGCCUGAUUACUCAGAAUUAUACUAUCUCUCAUCCCCAGACUGAGGAAGUUGAUGGAGAAGAGGAAGAAAGUAAGAAUGGUUUCUUAGAACUGUAUUCAACUCUUUGUGUGGGAACUAGCUCAACAGGAGGGGAUGCAAAGAGAACUAAGCCUGACCCCACUGUUUCAUCACAGCUGAAUCACUCUAUGAGGACAUCUGGAGAAUAAAUUCAUAUGAAUGAACUCCAC